UGCAAGUCGAACGAGAAAGCCACUUCGGUGGCGAGUACAGUGGCGCACGGGUGAGUAACGCGUAGAUGAUCUACCCUUCAGUCUGGGACAACUCUUGGAAACGGGAGCUAAUACCGGAUAAAACCUUCGGGUUGAAAGAUUUAUCGCUGGGGGAUGAGUUUGCGUACCAUUAGCUUGUUGGUGGGGUAAUGGCCUACCAAGGCGACGAUGGUUAGCGGGUCUGAGAGGACGAUCCGCCACACUGGAACUGAGACACGGUCCAGACUCCUACGGGAGGCAGCAGUAGGGAAUAUUGCGCAAUGGGGGCAACCCUGACGCAGCAAUGCCGCGUGAGUGAAGAAGGCCUUCGGGUCGUAAAGCUCUUUUAUGGGGGAAGAUGAUGACGGUACCCCAUGAAUAAGCACCGGCUAACUACGUGCCAGCAGCCGCGGUAAAUACGUAGGGUGCGAGCGUUUGUUCGGAAUUACUGGGCGUAAAGGGCGUGCAGGCGGAUUGGCAAGCC
rnacentral:rRNA from 1 species